rnacentral:rRNA from 1 species
UACGGGGGGGGCAAGCGUUGUUCGGAAUUACUGGGCGUAAAGGGUGCGUAGGCGGCGCGGUAAGUCGGGUGUGAAAUUUCGAGGCUUAACUUCGAAACUGCAUUCGAUACUGCCGUGCUAGAGGACUGGAGAGGAGACUGGAAUUUACGGUGUAGCGGUGAAAUGCGUAGAUAUCGUAAGGAAGACCAGUGGCGAAGGCGGGUCUCUGGACAGUUCCUGACGCUGAGGCACGAAGGCCAGGGGAGCAAACGGG